rnacentral:lncRNA from 1 species
UUCCCUCUCUGAUGGUGAAUUUUUACUGUCUCUAAAAAUAUUCAAAAAAGAGUGUCAAAAAUCUGAGGGUCAUCCCAGAAACUCCAUGUCAUGUUCUGAACCGAACGAAACCUCUCCAGAGAAGCAUGCCGCCAGCCAAGCAGGGGCAGUGCUGGCAGGAUCAGCUCAACUGUGGGCAGAGCAAGAGGAGCCUAAACUCACAACCUCCUCCCAAGGACUUAACACUAUUUGUCAGUUCUCAGGACUAUGAGCCUUCCAAAAGAAAACAUUAGGCCAUUGUCACUUCCAAACACAAUAUCUCCAUAUUUUGGAGGAAAUGGGGCAAGCAGGUAAAUAUGGAGC